CUGCACGGGAACACAGAGGGGACAUGGAGUGAGCCUCAUGCGAUCACAGCAAUCUGAACCAAAGUUAACCUUAACACUGUUCACCAGAGAAAACUCACUGUUGGAAACUCAGGAGUGAUUACUUACGUUGUCAAAAUGUUUCCUCUCCAUGGUUUGGACACUUGGAAAAGACGUCACGACGGGCAUCGCAGCUUCAGCCGCAGCCAUGCUGACCGCUCACAGGUGACAACAGGCGAGGACUCGGGACUGGAAGUGAGAACUGACGCGGUCCUUUAUGUCCAUAAAACGCGUCUGUGGUAACGUCGACAGCUGAGGAGCGUUCCAGGAUUCAGGAUGACAUUGUGUGUUUGCCCCUGUCUGUCUGAUUGUCAGCAAGAUGACACAAAAGCUACUGAACGGAUUCUCACUGACAGAACCCAAUACAUGGUGCCUGAACUGGACUGUGACUCCGCCUGCGAUGACUCAAGUUAAAUUCUUCCUUUCACUGAAACGAAAGAGCCUGCAUAUAAAUGGUCAAUUUAAGUUGUAAAUGAAACUGAUACAGGGGAUUGCUUUUGUGUUUCUCCAGUAUGUGGGUGAUAAUGUAUGAUGAGUUGGUUUUGUAAACUUUGUGCAUGGAAUCUAACAUUAAAUAUAGGUAUUAUGGUCAAUGUAGGGGACAAGCAUUCAGAUAAUCCAAUGCUGAUUGCGAGCUUCAUUCUCAAGUUGGUGUUUAACUUACUGAAUCUUACGUGAUAAAGACGACAGCGAGAUACAGUCCAAACAGAGAGUUUGAUGAGUGUCACUCACGUCAGGCUGGGGCUUUGCAUUGCAAUUAUAUUGUAACUUUGGAAACGACAACCAGCAAAAGAAGGUAGUGGGUGAUCUUUUCCCACAAACAGGGACUUAAAAACAUAAAUAAACCUAGGAAAAACUGUGAUGAUUUUAUUUUCCAAAAAGAAGAAGAGGAAGAAGACACAGUGGAUGACAGUAAUACACCUUGACGUUGGUUUCCACCGGCCAAUAAACCAAACAAAGAAGAAGAAGAACCAGCUAUCAACAUCAAAUAUACAGCUAUGUAUUGACUCAAUAGUCCAAAGCAAAUAAUUUUUUGCACCAGCAUACCCAGGAUGUUAAAAACCUUAUGGAUGUUUUAAUGGGACACUAACGCAGGUGGAAUUUCUGCCGGUGGCAUCAAUGGGUGGUGUCCCAGUGUGUAUGUGUAUGCCAGAGAAAUACCUUUUUUAGAAUUACAAACACAAAA